rnacentral:lncRNA from 1 species
AUCCAGUUGAAUCUUGGGAGUUCCCCAACAGCAAACACUGCAACCCAAAGAGACUGAUUGGUAAUUAUACCUGGACAAGUGACAAAUAGCAUACUUGAUAUUCUUGCGGGACCUGUAAUGAAAUAGUAAAAUACUUCAUUAUUGCUUCAUUGGACUGAAAAACCUAAGAGGCAACAGCAGUGCUCGAUGGUGAAAACUAAACAUGAGGGCAGCGGUGUGCCCCUAAAUGUCCUCUGUGCACUGUGAACUAAGCGUUCUCCACACUAUCAAUGCCGUUGGCAUCCACGUGGAUAUCAGGCUCCACACAGAAAGAAGAAGGGAUGAAGUGGCUAACAGUGGGACACAAACAGUUCUUAAGCUCUGGCAAUUCUUGCUUCAGGCGCUCCAACUGCUCCACUUGGAAUAUAUUUGGCUGUUCAGGCAUCCAAUCAUAU